UACGUAGGGGGCUAGCGUUGUCCGGAAUCAUUGGGCGUAAAGAGCGUGUAGGCGGCCCGGUAAGUCCGCUGUGAAAGUCGGGGGCUCAACCCUCGGAUGCCGGUGGAUACUGUCGGGCUCGAGUACGGAAGAGGCGAGUGGAAUUCCUGGUGUAGCGGUGAAAUGCGCAGAUAUCAGGAGGAACACCGGUGGCGAAGGCGGGUCUCUGGGCCGAUACUGACGCUGAGGAGCGAAAGCGCGGGGAGCGAACAGG
rnacentral:rRNA from 1 species